AUUUAACCAGAUAACCACCAGCGGACUUGAUGCUCGUAUAUAUUAUUUAUAAUUUAAAGAAGGAGCAACUGAAAUUUUUAACAACCACAAUCAAGAUGAGGAAACCAGACCGCUCAUCAAGCUCCCGAUGAAGACCAACCAUGAGAAACAUCUUCCUCCUGCAGAGGUCUUCUGCUGACUGCAGGACUCAGCUCCACUGAGAAUAUGUUGUUGCUUCGCUAUGGACAUUUUACUGUUCCAGAUUCAAACCUGCAGUGAACACAAAUCUCCAUCAGAGCCAUCACAGAAGCUGAAUUCAGGAGUUUCCAUCUGAAGGAGCUGAGGUUGAAGGGAGAAGAUGAUCUGCAGGAUCCUGCUGCUCAUCAUCCUCAACUCAUGUCUCUGUGCAGCAACAUUUGUAGUGAAUGUGACACAGAGCUCCUAUCAGGCAGAGGAGAACCACAGCAUCACUCUGGAGUGGACCUUCACCACCACACCUGAUGGACCCUGGAGAGAGCUGUUUAUCCUCUGUGAACUGAUCACAGAGCAUAGGGAAUCAGUCCUUUAUCAGGUCCAUGAUGGUGUUGAGGUGUCAGAGUCUCAGGAUGAACAGUUUUCAGGACGAGUCCAGAGUGACAAAGACGUCCUCAGAGAAGGACGAAUCAGACUCCAUGUGUCCAGACUGAGGAGUGAAGACUCUGGACUAUAUCUGUGUGAUGUGGAGACUGAUGGUGGCUUCAACUCUGGAAGAUGUCAACUCAACGUCUCUGGGUGAUGGUGUCGGGUUGCUGGUUCUGAUCUGCAGGGUUUAAGGGGAGAUGUGGGUCUAGUCAACCUAACAUGGAUGUUUUGUAUGAAGGGAAGCUGGAGUCUCCACAACUGCACAGGGAGAACCUGAACACAGCACCCAGACAGGGAUUUGAACCAAGGACCUGCUUGUAGCCAGGCAGCAGUGCUAGCAGCUGCUCCAGCCUGCAGCCCUACAGAGAGUCCAUGGAUUGAUAGAAAGCCUCCAUGUUGCAGUAGUUCUGGAGAACUGAGGCUGUUCAGCUUUAUUGUGUCUCUGGGGGACGUUGCUUUAGUGCUUUUAGAUCAGGGAACUGAUUUUUCACCACGCUUUAUUCUGCUGUUCACACUAAAUUCAGAGCUGCAGCUGAACCAGAACCAGAUCCACUAGAGACAGAACCACAGUUUCUCUGGCAGAAGAUGAUGGAGAGCUAACAGCUGCUGCUGCUGCUGCUGCUGCUGCUGAUGAUGAUGAUGUUAUGCCAUGAUAGUGAUCUCAGAUUGAAUCCUGAACAGUGGAUGAUUCAACAAAGAAAGUCCACUCCUUCUGCAAAGGAUAAGGGGGGGCCAGGAGAAGCCUUCCUCUCCCCCUCUCUCGCUCGUCCCUUCUUCUCGGCAGGAGGUCAGCUGUGACCACCUCCUUACAGAUAAAAGACACAGCACACCUCUGCCCACUUCUCUUUGUCUCUUCUCCUGACUCCAAGCUGCUGGGACACACUCCUCCACCCUUGGACGACCAGCACUCCUCUGGGGGAGGUCCCUCCUCCCUCAGGAGCCAUGCAUGGGGCCUGGAGCAGGCCCCGAGCUGGGUGAGAAUGAACCCUUCUGAAACUCAGUUCCUCCCCGGCAUAGGGAGAAACUGCCAGUCGAU